UACGAAGGGGGCUAGCGUUGCUCGGAAUUACUGGGCGUAAAGCGCACGUAGGCGGAUCUUUAAGUCAGGGGUGAAAUCCUGGAGCUCAACUCCAGAACUGCCCUUGAUACUGGCGGCCUUGAGUCCGGGAGAGGUGAGUGGAACUGCGAGUGUAGAGGUGAAAUUCGUAGAUAUUCGCAAGAACACCGGUGGCGAAGGCGGCAUCCUGGACCGACACUGACGCUGAGGCGCGAAAGCUAGGGGAGCAAACGGG
rnacentral:rRNA from 1 species